UGCGCAAGCGGAAUAAUAAGUCAGUGGUGAAAUCUCUCGGCUCAACCGAGAAACUGCCAUUGAUACUGUUAUUCUUGAGUAUAGUUGUAGUGGGCGGAAUAUAGCAUGUAGCGGUGAAAUGCUUAGAUAUGCUAUAGAACACCGAUCGCGAAGGCAGCUCACUAAACUAUAACUGACGCUCAGGCACGAAAGCGUGGGGAGCAAACAGGAUUAGAUACCCUGGUAGUCC
rnacentral:rRNA from 1 species